rnacentral:rRNA from 1 species
CAUAAGUAACGAUAAAGCGGGUGAAAAGCCCGCUCGCCGGAAGACCAAGGGUUCCUGUCCAACGUUAAUCGGGGCAGGGUGAGUCGACCCCUAAGGCGAGGCCGAAAGGCGUAGUCGAUGGGAAACAGGUUAAUAUUCCUGUACUUGGUGUUACUGCGAAGGGGGGACGGAGAAGGCUAUGUUGGCCGGGCGACGGUUGUCCCGGUUUAAGCGUGUAGGCUGGUUUUCCAGGCAAAUCCGGAAAAUCAAGGCUGAGGCGUGAUGACGAGGCACUACGGUGCUGAAGCAACAAAUGCCCUGCUUCCAGGAAAAGCCUCUAAGCAUCAGGUAACAUCAAAUCGUACCCCAAACCGACACAGGUGGUCAGGUAGAGAAUACCAAGGCGCUUGAGAGAACUCGGGUGAAGGAACUAGGCAAAAUGGUGCCGUAACUUCGGGAGAAGG